GCACAAGGGAGUUUACUCAUGAGGUGGCGAGCGGCGGACGGGUGAGUAAUGCCUAGGGAUCUGCCCAGUCGAGGGGGAUAACAGUUGGAAACGACUGCUAAUACCGCAUACGCCCUACGGGGGAAAGAGGGGGACCUUCGGGCCUCUCGCGAUUGGAUGAACCUAGGUGGGAUUAGCUAGUUGGUGAGGUAAUGGCUCACCAAGGCGACGAUCCCUAGCUGUUCUGAGAGGAUGAUCAGCCACACUGGGACUGAGACACGGCCCAGACUCCUACGGGAGGCAGCAGUGGGGAAUAUUGCACAAUGGGGGAAACCCUGAUGCAGCCAUGCCGCGUGUGUGAAGAAGGCCUUCGGGUUGUAAAGCACUUUCAGUAGGGAGGAAAGGGUGAGUCUUAAUACGGCUCAUCUGUGACGUUACCUACAGAAGAAGGACCGGCUAACUCCGUGCCAGCAGCCGCGGUAAUACGGAGGGUCCGAGCGUUAAUCGGAAUUACUGGGCGUAAAGCGUGCGCAGGCGGUUUGUUAAGCGAGAUGUGAAAGCCCUGGGCUCAACCUAGGAAUAGCAUUUCGAACUGGCGAACUAGAGUCUUGUAGAGGGGGGUAGAA
rnacentral:rRNA from 1 species